rnacentral:tRNA from 1 species
GGAGUUAUGGCUCAGCAGUAGAGCACUUGCCUAGCAUGCAUGAGGCACUGGGUUCAAUCCCUGGCACCA